rnacentral:rRNA from 1 species
AUUGAACGCUGGCGGCAUGCCUUACACAUGCAAGUCGAACGGCAGCGGGGGAGAAGCUUGCUUUUCCUGCCGGCGAGUGGCGAACGGGUGAGUAAUACAUCGGAACGUGCCCUGUAGUGGGGGAUAACUAGUCGAAAGAUUAGCUAAUACCGCAUACGACCUGAGGGUGAAAGUGGGGGACCGCAAGGCCUCAUGCUAUAGGAGCGGCCGAUGUCUGAUUAGCUAGUUGGUGGGGUAAAGGCCUACCAAGGCGACGAUCAGUAGCUGGUCUGCGAGGACGGUCAGCCACGCUGGGACUGAGACACGGCACAGACUCCUACGGGAGGCAGCAGUGGGGAAUUUUGGACAAUGGGCGAAAGCCUGAUCCAGCAAUGCCGCGUGUGUGAAGAAGGCCUUCGGGUUGUAAAGCACUUUUGUCCGGAAAGAAAUGGCUCUGGUUAAUACCUGGGGUCGAUGACGGUACCGGAAGAAUAAGGACCGGCUAACUACGUGCCAGCCGCCGCGGUAA